AUAUAUAUAUAUAAAAUAAAUAAAAACUGUACGUAGUAGUCUAGAAUUUUUUGACACUUUUUGUACAAGCUAUAUCUUUAAUCAUUAAAGGUUGAUAUUUUUUACAAAGAUAGUGGGCGGUAGGUUUAAUAAAAAAAAAAUUCAUUAACAAAUUUUAAGAAAACUAAUGACAAUUAAUAAAUGUUGUAAUCGUCUUAGACGUGUUUUAUUUUGGAUUAUUUAACCUUUGAAUCUUUUGAAUUAAAAUUAGUGAAUCAGAUCAACACGAGGUUUUCCAAUGUGUUUUGUCUUUCCUUGCACAUUUUUCGGGAAAACUUCCCAGAAGGUCACCCACGCUUAACCAUGAAGUUCUUAUGGGUUAGGCUACUGAAAAGCAAAUGCAUUUGUUGAUAUGGGUAGCCAAAUUAAUUCCUUUAAGUUAUCUAUCAACCGUAUAGUCUCAUGUAUGUUCGAUUCGUCUAUGUGCUCCUUCCGCUGGAAGCCUGCCAAGAGUCGCUCCUUGUCCGUGCCUCUUGCACCAGGGAUCACUCCCCGCCCUCAUCAGUGCCCGGGUGUCACAUGUAGCUUUCUCAUUCUUAUCUUCCACGACGUAUAAUUUUCUCUUUUUCCCAACACAUAAUCUUCUCCUUUUCCUUUUCAUCCUAGCGUAUAUGAUAAUUUGGCUUCUGCAAGGAAACGAAACAAAACAUGUACUGAGAUUGAAAGUAGUUACGGAGAUAAGGAAUAGAAAUUAUAGAGCUUGGUUCCUCUUUGAUCAAAACUGUCCAAACCAUUAGGUUGCUGAAAGCAAGUAUAAAACGUCAACUUUCUAGUUUAAUGAAAUCAACAAAAAAAAUCAGAAAUAUAUAGAAGAGUGAAAGUGAGAAUAAUAUGAGUUUCUUGAUGAAUAGAAGAGGCAUAGAACCUUCAAAGGGAGUAGCAGUAGAGCAACGAGAGAUAGCAAAACUUUCUCGACUGAGAUAGUGGAGUUAACCUUUUCUUUCUAUGGAUUGUAUGAAUACCUUGUAGUGUAAAUCUGAAAUGUGUGUUCCGAUCUUUUGGUUGUUGCUGCUGCCUUGUCUAAUGAAUCUGUUGAGAUGCAUAUUACGGUCUAGGAAAAAUGUGAACUGAAUGUUGAUGACUGAAAGAGAAAGCUCCAUAAGCGUAAACGUAUUAUUG
rnacentral:lncRNA from 1 species